CCUACGGGUUGCACCAGUGGAGAAUAUUGCACAAUGGGCGCAAGCCUGAUGCAGCCAUGCCGCGUGUAUGAAGAAGGCCUUCGGGUUGUAAAGUACUUUCAGCGGGGAGGAAGGCGAUAAGGUUAAUAACCUUAUCGAUUGACGUUACCCGCAGAAGAAGCACCGGCUAACUCCGUGCCAGCAGCCGCGGUAAUACGGAGGGUGCAAGCGUUAAUCGGAAUUACUGGGCGUAAAGCGCACGCAGGCGGUCUGUCAAGUCGGAUGUGAAAUCCCCGGGCUCAACCUGGGAACUGCAUUAGAAACUGGCAGGCUGGAGUCUUGUAGAGAGGGGUAGAGUUCCAGGUGUAGCGGUGAAAUGCGUAGAGAUCUGGAGGAAUACCGGUGGCGAAGGCGGCCCCCUGGACAAAGACUGACGCUCAGGUGCGAAAGCGUGGGGAGCAAACAGGAUUAGAUACCCCAGUAGUC
rnacentral:rRNA from 1 species